GGCCGCCGUGCUGCUGCUGGCGGCCACUGCUGAGGCGGGACGCGUAGAGGCAGCGCAGGAGCGAGGCUACAUCGCAGCGACUGGAGGCUCAGGCUACUCGGGAAGCUCUGGCAGCAGCGGCGGCGUGAUAUACGGAAGUGGAGUUGGAAGCAGCUACGGAGGUGGUUACGGAGGUGGAGGAGGUCUAAGCGGUGGAGUUGUUUACGGUGGUGGGGGAUUAAGCGGUGGAGGUGGCU
rnacentral:lncRNA from 1 species